UGUUCUUCCUCUGGAGACUGCAGGGACUUCUGUCCCCACUAGCCACGUGUUUUGUAAUUCAAGUAGUUCUGUCAUGCACUCAUGCCUUCUACUUCCAGAGGGCCAAUGGGUCAUGCUUCAGAGAAAAAAAAAAAGCAGGCUCCCUGGAAGAUUCACUUAGUUGUUCAAGUGCUGAACAGCAAAUAGAAGUGUUCCUCUAACUUUCUUUGCACGAGACCACAUUCAUUUAUUUUUUUAAUCUGGGGCCCAGACUCGCUUCUUUGUUCUAGUAGUGUACGCUUUGGAAUAUUGCUUUCAAAGAACAUGGUUGCAACUGUGCUGUAAAUGAGGAAGAAAAGAAAGGCUGCCCUGACUGUACCAGAGGAUUUUGUACUGCUCUAGCAGAUUUGCAGCAGGCAAUGAAGGUAGAAGUGGUCUGUCACUACCCUGGGCUCAACUGCUAUCCGCAGCUCUGAAAGGAGCGUCAGGAAAUGUCAAGUAAAGCCACUGCAGAGUCGUGGUGAGGGUGUUUGGUGCUUGUCAUGAGUCAUACUUGUCACAAAGGCAACAGCUUAAUUCUCCUUAACGCUAUGUAUUCGGAAUCUACAGCCAUUGCUGACAUUCACAGCGCUGCCCACGCUGCUUUAAAACUCAGCCUGGUGUCUGACUGGGUCCCCUUGUGCUGGUAGGGCCACCCUGGUGCAGAGGAAGGCCGGUACCUGGAGAUGUCAUGCACCAGUGUGAUAGGUGGCUGGGAGUUAGAGAGGUUCUCCUGGUGGAAGUGGUGUUUGUCCGCGUCUGUGCUUGUGCACGUACACAGAAGAACAAUUCCAUUAAGGGAUAGCUCGAUUGUCAGGGCUGUGAACGUCUCUAGACCCUGUAAAGUGGCUUUUGCUCUUGACUACAGUUUUGCUGACAUGCUUUGAGAGUCCCUGAGUAUGAAGACGUUCGUUGUAUAAGCAUCAACAUUUGUUUUUCUAUACAUUUUAUCUCUACUUUGCAGUACCGAUCUGAGUACGAGGUGAUCUGCUGUUUACCAGGACUCUUGCCAAUGCACUCGCACGUGAGCCUCACUGUGCUAAUGGCAAUGGCCCGGAAGCUUUCUGGCUGGUCUAGGAGAUCGGUGGAGAUCCACUGGGUCCUGGGGCGCUACAGCUCCAGGAAGUUAUUUCUGGGGAACCCUCGGUGGGGUGAUAGAAGAUGUGCAGGUCAGGCUUUGAGCACACUGGAAAGCAGGCACGGAGCCCUUAUAGGGCGCUGUUCUGACAGAAGGGUAGGAAAUAAAUCUGCUCGGCAUCUCUUUGUGAGAGAUUUUACUCUGAAAAUAAAACUACAUUGUUCAGUGCUUCUAGAAAAAAAAGAAAAAUAGAAGUGAGCGGAGGAGCUGGGAAAGGUGUCAGGGAGCGCCAGCUUUCCGGAUGCUGUCUUUUUGUUGUGGUUUCCAGUGACUCAGAGAAGGAACAGUUUGUGGCCCUGAUGAACCUCUUCCUGGCCUGUGGUUGUGUGUGUCCUCUGGGGAUUAAGCACCUGAUGCUGUUUGCUGCUUCUCUUGACACUUUCCCAGUUAAACUGCCCUCUUAAGAAGAGACCGGGACUCCCUUGAGAUACGCUACGUGUUGUGGGAGCUCUUGGGAACAGUUCUGAAGCUGAGGGAUGAUGUGAGUGGGAAUUGGACGGAGAAAGCUCUUUCCUCUGUGGAAAGGUCGUUCGGACCCAGUCCUGCACAUCGAGCUCAGGCGGUGGGCUGACCUCAUGUUGGUGGCACCUCUUGAUGCAAACACGCUGGCAAAACUCGCGAACGGCAUCUGUGACAACCUGCUGACUUGUGUCAUCCGUGCUUGGGAUCUGAGCAAACCUCUGCUCUUCUGCCCAGCGAUGAACACGGCCAUGUGGGAACAUCCCAUCACAGCUCAGCAGGUGGAGCAGCUGAAAGGCUUUGGCUACACAGAGAUCCCCUGUGUGGUGAAGAAACUAGUGUGUGGGGAUGAAGGUCGAGGUGCCAUGGCAGAAGUGUGGACUAUUGUGGAGAACGUGAAAAGGAUUCUCGAAGAACGGGACUUGCCAACGCAGAGCUGAUGGUUUGGCACCUAAAUUGUGUUUCUUUGCCCCCCCCCGCCACGAUGAUUUGAAGAUAAAAAACAACAGGAAGCUGAGUCGAGAUGGUGUGCAUACCUACAGCAUGCCCUUCAACUGAAACGGUUGUCUUCCAGCUGGUGCCAAACUGAAACGUGGCACGUCACUGCAGAUUUUCAGAAACCGAAGCCAAGAACACGCCGCUUUAGUGUGGGAAAACCACGGUAUCUCGCAGAGAGGGAGUAAUGUUCCACUAGGCCGCUCGCCCCCCCGGUAUUUCUCCUGCACUCCUUUCUGAGGAGGCUGCAGAAGGAAUGGCCGACGUAUUUCAGGUCUGGAGGUUCCCUGAAGAGCUGCUAGAGAGGAAAGAGCUGUGCAGUUCCUGGUGAUGGGGAUAACACUGGCCCCUUCCAGCCUGUCGGUGUGGGGACUUCUCCGCUCUCCAAAACCUGGUCUGUAGCUGUGCUGGCUUCACCUUUGCAGCGGGAGUCGCUGUCCAAAAAGCAUUUCCCUUCCAAGGAACUUAGUAAAAAAGAGCUUUUCAUUCUGUCCCUGAAGAAUUGCCUCUUGUAGCUGUUCUGGGAGGGGGUUGCACCUAACAUCAUUGCUAAAUCAUUGCGUCUGCGUGCCAUUUUUUAUCAGAAAUGGCGAAAAAAUGGACUGAAAGCAGCUUAGCCUUUGCCCUUUUGUAUCUGUUGACUGGGUAGGGAUGCAGACGUCAACUGUGAACCAAACUGACGCCUGUCCAGCUGAGUGCUCCAGUCAGGAAAGCAGCAGGCUGGGCCCUUGCAGAAACCUGGGUUGGGUGUUUCCCAAGGGAGUGAAGUCAAACUUUGCCUGUGACGGUCCUUUUCGGCUUGAAAAUUAACCAACUGGCAUGAAAAAAUUGGGAAAUCCUCUGACCCUGUGGGCCAGACCAGCCAGGGCUCCCCCCCCAGUCCAGCCUUUCCUUGGAUCCCAGUCCCAAGGGGAACGGAAGCAAACUGGGGCUGUCCAACACAUCGCUGUAUCGGAGCGUUGCUGACCCAGAGAGUUUAUUUUUAACCAGACCCAGUCAAAUUUAAGGCCUUCGGUAAAGAACGUGCAUCCUGCCUAUGGGGGCAACCUUCAGACUGCUGCGCACGAGGGAAGAGGUUAUCGGGAGAGCCGGGAAUUCAGAGCUUCUGGGGAUGAAGUCAGAAGGAACCUCGCGUGAACGUUUUGCCAGCGAAGCCUUUGUGGCGUGAGCUCAUGUUCUUACUUGAAGCUUAUUGAAGAGGUGCCUCUUGGUUUCCACGAGUUUUGUAGGGAAUGUUGUUUCUCCUUUAUAUUCCAGAGAAAUAUGUGUUCUGGCAGUUGCAACUUGACCUUGGGGCUGUCCUCUUGGCUCUGCCGUGGAUAUCUUUUGUGGCCGCAGUUGCUUAUCCUUCCUCCGUGACUUGGCAAUGCAGAAGAUCUGACAAUAAGGUUCCUCAUAGCAGGCCGAAACACCGUGUCCUCGAUAAGAGUGUUCAUCUGUUACAAAUCUGGUUUGCAGCCUUAAGCCGCUCCAGAAACGUUGGCAGGUAGCGUCUGGCUUCUCCUGGCACUUGCCGCAAGGCGUAAGCUCUGAUAAUUCAGCAGAAAAGGGGUAACGCGGCUUUUCUAGAGCCAGAAUUUAGGCCGGGUCGCCUGAUAGCGCGCAGAUCGGGUGUUUGGCAUCGUAGCAUCAGUCUCGGUGAGCAGCAAGAAACUGCGAAGGCGGCAGAUUUGCCUCUCCGCCUUGUCUAGUGGCUUAAAUUAAGGCUCGCGAAGAACUUGCAGAUCCCUGAAUAAAAGGAGUUAAUUCUUUGCCCUGCAAAUAUAUAGGGCAGCAAUAGAAACGUAUGGCAGGAAUGAGGGGAGCGCUUCACAGCGGCCGAAAAACCCACGAAGAAAACUCCUCUGUGGAGGACACCGCUCCCGGUCUGCCUCAUCCAUGCUGCAGAAACGGCUACGCUAAUCCUGCUGCUAAAUAAUCUGCACAAUUGCUGCGAUUUCUAAUUGGAAGCGGGUCGCGAUAGUGUUACAGGUUGGGAUAAACCCCGGUGCCCGAACCACCUUUCCUUCAGGGCAAAUAAAAGAAACAGUUAACGUUCCUUUUCGGAGGCAGAGGGCUGAAGCAAAAGCAGCUUCCACCCCAAAUGCAGGCACGCGUCCCCACCCAGGGCGAGGUAGAUGCAGGCAGCCUGCGGGCAGGAACGCUUCCCUGCCUGCUUGCCGUGGAAAAGCGGCAGAAAGAGAAGCCGGGGGAAACCCUGUCCGCCCUCACACGAGUCGUUCAGCUUUAGGAGGGGACUUUGUGUCCGGGUUUGGGCCGGCUCGGAAAAUAUGUGCUGGCAGCUGGACCGGGACGACAAGGCUCCGGCUAACCCCCCAGGUCUGGAAGAGCCACCGAGCGAUGACUUCCUCGAGGCAGACAGACUGACAUCUCCGUCCCUCGCAGUUCUGCGUGUGUUUUGGGUUUGCAGAGGAGGCCCGAGACGCUGCCUGCGCUAUUUUUCCUUUCCCUUCAGCUCUUCUUUUUGAGCCGCGCGCCGAUUUUUCGUUUCGCUUUCCCGUGAAACUCUCAGAUGACCGAGGCAGCAUCCCCGUGAAACCUGCUGCGUUGCAAUUUCAUUCAUGCUGCUUAAAACUGUUUCUCUCAGCACUGGAUGGGAGCGAUAAACAAAAGCUCAGCCCUCCUCCUUUCCUGCUCUUAGACCCAGCUUUGCCUGAGCUCGGACGUGACUCUGAGCAUCCUUUUCUCCCCACCCCAUCCCAAAUUCCACGCGAUCCCUUUCCUGCUUGGCUUCGUGAGAUCCUGCAGGAGGAUGGAGAUGCCAUGGUGCCACUUUGCAUCCGGAUGGUCUGGCUUUGAGCGCAGAACAGAUUGCAGAAAAAACUCAAACCAAAAAAAAACAAAAAACAAGUGAGAAAACCUCCCCGCUUUUAGACUUUUAAGCAGUCACGUCUCCUUGGUUUUGAGACUCUGCGUGCGGCGGCUUCGCACCCCAGCAGGUCCGGAUUUGACACCUGCCUGCAGUGAACCGGGCGGCGGGGUUCUCACCUCUCGGCGUUGCUGCCGGCCGCCCGGCGAGCGGGGACGCUGCCUGCUUCGUAUCUUCGAAAGCGCGGGGCGGCAGGAAACGUGAUGUGUUUUUUGUUGGGUUUGGUUUUUUUUUCCUUUUUUCUUCCCCAACCGCAGCGGGGCCGGGUGCUGGGAGAGGGCGGUGGCUGCCAAGGGGUGACGAGUUGGUGGUGGCAAAGUGAGAACUUGGAGGUGCUCGUACCGGUGGGUUUUCCCUGCUCUGGCAGAAUUAAAAAUAUUCCUCCCCACCAGCCCCGUGGGCAUCGGGUAUUUCUGCUGCAGGCAGAGCCAGAGGAAGAGAUGCGAAGGGAUCACGGCAGUCCCGACCUCUUCCCUCGUGGUUUUGCUUUUCAUCUGCAUCAUUUUCUUCUCCUUCUCCAGACCCUCCCGGCGUCAGAAAGCAGCCGAGCCGCCCCGGCCUGCGAUAAGGACGGUGCCGAAGGACCCGGCACCGCUCGGCACAGACUCCUUGGCACCAGCUACACCGAUAGCUUGGCUUUGGCGGUGACAACCUUGCAAUUAAAACUUGCAGGUGCAGCGUUCUUGCCUUGGCCAGCAACCUCGCCGGAUAGUUUAAAAAUUGUUUUCAGGAGUAAUUGAGCUUAAUUAGAAGCUUGAAUUCCACCCCCCCGGGGGUUGUGCUGCUCAGGGUUUCUGGGCUUGUUGGGAGUCAGGCAGGGGGUGAAGAUGCUCGGAGAUGCACCGAGGGGGGAGAGGAAUAAUCGGAUCGGGACGGUUCCCUGCUAGGUGUCACCCUGUUUGGGGUUUUGUUCUUGGGAUGUCACGUUGUGCUUCAGAUGGAGACUGGGAUUUGUUUCUCUGGGAAUCCUGGCUUUGGCAUUGUACCUCAAUUUUCCGACUCUCUGGGGAGAAAACGAGGAUAACGGGGAGAGAACCAGCAGAAAGGCUUCAUGCUGGCCAGGGAGAUGAAGAGUAAAGGUGACUUUUAGGCAUGUAGUCAUCGCAGUUAAGAUAAAAUCAAUCCGCUCCUGACCACAGGCUGGCUGGAGGGAGUACAGAGGGAUGGGCCCUGCCGUGGGGACUCAUAAAAUCGGGCUCCGUCGACUGCGAUUGCAAAGGCACCCCAGUCUGGGGGGGGGGGGCUCCUACCCCCCGGUCCGAUGGCGAGCAGCCUCCAGCAAGUUACCGGUGACCGGUGCCAGCUCCCGGCUGCCCAGGGACCUGCCCAACCCCCCGGGCACCAGCCCUGCCGACAGAAGUAGCCAAAAAAUCCACACACCCCCCCCCCAUCCUCCCUGCAGUGCCGCGGGCGAGCGUGCCGGGACAGGCAGCGUGCCGCCCCGCCAAGAGAAGGGAAAGCAGAAUGCGUGGCCUUGGCGGGGACACAAGCACAGUGAUAAAAGCUUUAUAAAAGGGAUUUAUUUUUGCAUGGCUCCUGGAAGAGCCUUUCCCCAGGAGAGCCGAACCCCCGAAGCAGCCCGAACCCCUGGCUCUGUUUUUUUUGUCUCGCUUGAUUUACACAGGUCGCUUGGGUGGUUUAUAGCUUUGGAGAAAUAUGAUUCACGAACCCGAGCGUGAUAAGGAUGAGGGAAGAAAGAAAAGCCACGUCAACCCGAAGGAAUGUGGCCGGUAGAGAGCCCAGCCUGUGGCUGGCAGAAGCCCCGGGCGGGGGAUCAGGCGUAAAAAGGGGCAAAAUGGUAACACGUGCCUGAAAAAAUAGCUGGAACUCGCCCAACCCCGCUGCAGGAAAGCCCAGCCCGCUUUGCCCGGCCUCUCGUCCCCCAAAUCUGCUGCAGCUCUGCGGUCGCGGGCCGGCCUCAGGCAAAGCUCCCCCCCGGGGCACGGGUCAGCCAAGCUUUAUAACUGGAAAUAAUUUAUAACCCGAGCUGUUGUGUUUGCACGGUGCUGACGGCGCUCCGCAGACCCUCCCGGGGUUGCGGCCGCCCUCCAGACCGCUGCACCGCUUCUCUGAGGAUAAGGAGCCGGCGUGGGGUCUGGAAGCGAUCCCAGCCCGCAGGGGAGCAGCCCCGGAUUGCUGCGAGCUCUUGCACGAGCGAGAAAAGCAUCGUCCCUUCGUCCCCUCGCUCUGCCGCGCAGCGCCGUGUGCCUGCCGGACGCGUGGAUGGGGAAGCUGACGCUGUGACGACGAUGAUGAGGGUGGUGGGGAAAGCCCUGACCCGGCGGCUGACUGCGGGCACGUUCCUGCUGCCCUCACGUACCUGAACCCCUGUGCAAACGCAUCCCAACCUGGCAAACGCGGCCCCUUUAUAAAGGCAGCAAAAUGCGGCAGCGAAAUCUCACCCUCGGCUACGGGAUGGGGGUGCCGAGGCGCGGGCAGAGCUCUGCCCCUUGCUCUGCUCAGGGGUAACCUGGUCCUGCCCAAAGGCAGGGAGCUCCUGCCUGCAUCCUGCCCUCGCAGCAUCCCCCCGGGGAACGUGGUCAGCGGUGAAACCCCUGAUCCUGCACAUCCCUGGGGCAGGUCUGGCUCUAUAGGUGCCCCCGGGGAUGGGAUGUUAUUCCCUGUGAUAUUUUUGCAUUCAUACGAAAUUGCUUUUAAAUGGAAGGAUUUUCACAGAGAGGGCAAAAGCUCCUGCUGUGCGGGCAGGGUGCAGGCAGGGUGCAGGCAGGGUGCGGCCGGCGCUGGAGCACCCAUACGCCUCCAGUGAACGAACCCUGCCGGUUGCUUCAGCAGAAAGUCAAUAUUGACCCUUCGCCAGCGUCUGCGUGCUUCAGCACUAAAAUUACCAAAAGCAGAACAAAGCCCCACGCUUCCCUCCAGCACCAGCUUUGUUCGCUGAGUCUUUAAAAAAAAAUAAUGAUAAACCAGUUCUAUUUAUUGGGGGUUUAUUGGAAGUCAAAGAUCUGGGAAAAAGCCAUGGAGAAAGCGAGCUCAACCUUCUGUUCUGCUUCUUAUUUCUCAGCCCUUUCUUCCUCCCCUUGCCCAGCAUCCAUCCUCUCCCGGAGCAUCCAUCCGAGCCGGACCGCGGCGGGGGGGAAGAGAUCCUGGCAGGGCUGCAGCAUCAUCCCCCAUCCCCACCGUGUCCCCAGCUCCUCGGAGGGGACGGCGGCUCAGGAGCUGGGCAGAGACCAACGCGGGACAUGAGAACCUGCGGUUUUAGAAACUGGAAAUAAAAGCUGAAGCGGUUUGAAGGCUCAGCCUCGAAAGGGGGAAGGUGGUGGGGGAGCGGAGAGGAACCAAAACCCACCGACGGAGGAACAGGCGGAGGGGUGAAGGAGAAGUGAAAUCAUCUGUGAUUACUGAAAGCCCCGAUGUGAAAGAGUGGGAGAGCUAUCUUUGGGGCUUUCACUUCCCUGUCUGGGCAGGUUUUCUUGGCUUCGGUCUAUUUUUCCCCCUACCCUGCUCUCUGCUCAUAAAUUCCUCCCUGGGGCGGGUGGGGUUGGUGCCGCCGCGGGGGAUCCGAGAGGACCGAAGCCGGGGACCACCGAGCAUCCCUGCCGCCGUGGGUUUUGGGGGGUACCCGCUCCCUGCCGGAGAUCCACCGUCUCUCCGGAUCGAGCACCUCAAUAAAAGCCAUUUUUGUCAAAGAUAAAACUCAGUCGCUAAGGGUUGAAAGAGCUUCCCAGUCUGGUGCCAAGCGUUUUCUUUCUCCAAAACCAAAAAAGAGGCAAGGGAUGGCCG